CGUACAUAAACUAAAAAUUGACAAUAGAAUUGGGCGGGUGCUUUUGCUGAUGAAUCACCCGAACUGAAUUUCAGAGCCCUAAAUAACUCUCCGUACAAUUUCACUGCGAGAAGACGAAGAAGAGCAUGAGCAACGAUAGACAGUUCGAAUUCUGCGUUGUUUGCAAGCUCAAUCACAAUCAAGGACGCCGCCAUAACUUCCUCCCUAACCACAAGAAGUCGCUCGCGGCGGUGCUCUCCCGUUUCCAGUCGAAGCUUUCCGAUAUCCGGUUCUUCCUCAAAAACCCUAUCCCUCUGCGCCCUGAGCAUGAUUCGCUUAAUCGACUUUGGUGUAUAUUCUGCGAUCGUGAUAUACUUGAACUCGACAGCUUCUACGCUAGUGACAAUGCGAUUAGGCAUUUGUCUGGUGCGGAUCAUAUGAAGAAAGUUAAAGGAUUUUUGUGGAAGUAUGGUGGUGGAAUGGACAAGGUUGAUACUCUUCGGAUUACAGAGGCUGACUUCUCCAAGUGGGAGAAGAAGUGCAAUCUUUCGAAGAAGGGAGCUCUUGAUGGAGGAUCUCGGGCAACGUCAAUUGGACCGUCGAAUGAUAUCCAAAAUAAAACUAACUCUGACUAUCUAAAUUGUUUUGAAAAAGAUAAUGUUCAUGCUCUUAACGUUGAUGUUUCAAAUAGUGUUGUACCUUUACAAAAUUAUACGGAUGAGAGAUCACAGAUAUUUGAAAACAAAAUGCAUGGUGUUACAAAUGGACCUAAUAUGCGCAGUACGUCCAUGGGCGUACAACUCGGUGAAGAUGCUUGUUCCUCCAGUGGCUUAUCAAAUGCCCAAAAGAUCUUGGGGUUUCAUGCCGCAGCUUCUCACGAAUGUCUUAAUGGAGGUUCUGGAACCUCGGAUGGAAGAAUGUCAAAGGGGAUGAAGAGUUCUCUGGGUUCACCAAGCAUUACACAGAUAUCUUUAACAUUUCAAGAAGAUUCCCUGGGCAAUGUUCAUUCUGGAGCACCUCCUCCGUGGUUCAAUGCGGUUGAAAAAAGUCAGCUAGAUUUUGUAUCAAAUCCUGGAAGGAGUGACCCCUUCCCUCCCAAUCAGAAGAAGAAGUCGAAACUAAACCCAAACAGGGUUGGUGCUGCUUGGGCAGAGAGAAGAAGAGUUGAACUGGAGUUGGAGAGUAAAGGGGAGCUCGUGACAAACACUUUCGAUGUGAACUGGCUCCCAAAUUUUGGCAGAGUUUGGCAAUCAGGUACUAGGAAGGAAUCUAGAAAAGAAUUUCAGCUGGAGAAUCACAAAUCUUCUGAGGUUGAAAGCCAAUCCCAGAGUAGGGUGCAGUUACAGCCUUAUGUCAGCAAGCGAAAGCGCAAAGAUCCUGUUGAUGAUGAGCUUGACUGACCUGCUCUGUAUGGUGACCAAAUUAUGAAAUUCAUGUGUACAUUCUUCUUGAUAUACUUUUUGGGUUUCCCGUGUAUGAGUUGGGGUGCCUCAUAUCUAUUGCUUACAAAUAAUUUGCGAUGAAUGUUGAAGGCGACAGGUUCUCUAAUUUUGACAGUUUCCUCUUACUCUAUUGAAGACGAACUUCCAGUGCAUUAUAAUAUCAUGAAGGCCAUAUGUUAUAGGCGUCAAAACUGUGAUAUCUUGUAGAUGGUUUUUUUUUUACGACUGUGGCCUUGGAUCUUAAUAGCUGUUCAUGCAAUUCAAGUUUGCUGCAGAGUCGCCACUGAAACAGUGUGUUUUUUGUGCUAUUGUUCUCUCAUUCGCUGAAAACUCGUGUCAUACUGGAGGGUUGUGGAAAGAAAACAUGGAGGAUUCUUUUUUAACUAUGGAUUUUUUUCUCUCUA